GACGAACGCUGGCGGCGUGCUUAACACAUGCAAGUCGAACGGAAAGGCCCUGCCUUUGUGGGGUGCUCGAGUGGCGAACGGGUGAGUAACACGUGAGUAACCUGCCCUUGACUUUGGGAUAACUUCAGGAAACUGGGUCUAAUACCGGAUAGGAGCUCCUGCUGCAUGGUGGGGGUUGGAUAGGUUCGGCGGUUGGGGAUGGACUCGCGGCUUAUCAGCUUGUUGGUGGGGUAGUGGCUUACCAAGGCUUUGACGGGUAGCCGGCCUGAGAGGGUGACCGGCAACAUUGGGACGGCGAUGCGGCCGCGACUCCUACGGGAGGCGGCAGUGGGGAGGAUUGCACGAUAGGCGGAGGCCUAAUGCAGCAACACGGCGUGCGGGAUGACGGACUUCGGAUUGUAAACUGCUUUCGUGUGUGACGAAGCGAAGGUGACGACCAUGAGAAAAAAAGCACCCGCAAACUGCG
rnacentral:rRNA from 1 species